CUACGGGGGGCUCCAGUGGGGAAUAUUGGACAAUGGGCGCAAGCCUGAUCCAGCAAUACCGCGUGUGUGAAGAAGGCCUGCGGGUUGUAAAGCACUUUCAAUUGUGAAGAAAAGCGAGGGCUUAAUACGCUCUUGUCUUGACGUUAACUUUAGAAGAAGCACUGGCUAACUCUGUGCCAGCAGCCGCGGUAAUACAGAGGGUGCGAGCGUUAAUCGGAAUUACUGGGCGUAAAGCGUACGUAGGCGGUUUAGUAAGUCAGAUGUGAAAGCCCUGGGCUCAACCUGGGAACUGCAUUUGAAACUGCUAGACUAGAGUGUGGUAGAGGGAAGUGGAAUUCCGGGUGUAGCGGUGAAAUGCGUAGAUAUCCGGAGGAACACCAGUGGCGAAGGCGACUUCCUGGACCAACACUGACGCUGAGGUACGAAAGCGUGGGUAGCAAACAGGAUUAGAUACCCCCGUAGUC
rnacentral:rRNA from 1 species